rnacentral:rRNA from 1 species
GCCAGACUCCUACGGGAGGCAGCAGUGAGGAAUAUUGGUCAAUGGCCGAGAGGCUGAACCAGCCAAGUCGCGUGAGGGAAGACGGCCCUACGGGUUGUAAACCUCUUUUGUCGGGGAGCAACGAGGCCACGUGUGGCCGAAGUGAGAGUACCCGAAGAAAAAGCAUCGGCUAACUCCGUGCCAGCAGCCGCGGUAAUACGGAGGAUGCGAGCGUUAUCCGGAUUUAUUGGGUCUAAAGGGUGCGUAGGCGGAAUGCCAAGUCAGCGGUAAAAUCGCGGGGCUCAACCUCGCUCCGCCGUUGAAACUGGCGUUCUUGAGUGGGCGAGGAGUAUGCGGAAUGCGUGGUGUAGCGGUGAAAUGCAUAGAUAUCACGCAGAACUCCGAUUGCGAAGGCAGCAUACCGGCGCUCAACUGACGCUCAUGCACGAAAGUGUGGGUAUCGAACAGGAUUAGAUACCCCUGUA